AACGAACGCUGGCGGCAGGCUUAACACAUGCAAGUCGAGCGAGAGCUUCGGGGCUAGCGGCGGGCGGGCGGGUAAGGCGUGGGAACGGGCCCGUCUCGACGGGAGAGCUCCCGGAGACUGGGAGUAAUACCGAAUACGCGCCGCGGGGGAGAGAUUGAUCGGCGAAGGAUCGGCCCGCGUUGGAUUAGGUGGUUGGGGGGGUAAUGGCCCACCAAGCCGACGAUCCAUAGCUGGUCUGAGAGGAUGAUCAGCCACACCGGGACUGAGACACGGCCCAGACUCCUACGGGAGGCAGCAGUGGGGAAUCUUAGACAAUGGGGGCAACCCUGAUCUAGCCAUGCCGCGUGAGUGAUGAAGGCCUUAGGGUUGUAAAGCUCUUUCAGCUGGGACGAUAAUGGCGGUACCAGCAGAAGAAGCCCCGGCUAACUCCGUG
rnacentral:rRNA from 1 species